rnacentral:lncRNA from 1 species
GGCUGAUUGUGCUCCAUCCCCUUCCCACCUCCCAUCACCACUAAUAGUUCAAAGGUUGUUACAUGGCGAAGUUGCCUAGCCAGAAUUUAAUUCAGCCAAGUAGUUAUCAACUUAAGCUAAUGGUUUGUGAUGCGCGUAAGGAAGCAUCAGGGUUAGAAACCAUCACUCACAGGAAGUUAAGUGAGCACGUGACCUGCGUCAUUAUAACAGGUCUAUAGAGGCGGUAGAGCAGCUCCGGCGUCUCGGUGGUGGGAGGCGAGUCCAUUGGGAUAGUGGUUGCUUCCGGCACUCUGCUCGUCAGGUGACCUGAGAUUUACGUGGUGAAGCAGGAAUGGGGUGUGAGAAGGCACGCUGCAGAGGCGGCAAAUGUCUUUCUGAAAGCAGAGAGCCGUCCCAGUUAUGGAGGAGGUGUAGCAAAGGGGAGGAAGGGGCCCUGGAUCUGAGUGUCAACGACGGCGCAUGCCCUGAGGAGGACUAGGGCGCCCACAAAGGACAGCGUGGAAAAAGAGCUGCUCCUUCUACUCCCAUAUGAAGCUUUUGAUGACUGUCCCAGCCUGUCACGACAGGUUAUCAAGCUAUUCGUGGGCAUUAGCAAUGCCAUUCCGCGUGUUAGCCUUUGUCCACUAGCCAAGGCCAGAGGGUGAAUGAAGUCUAACAGGUGUUAGAACCGCUGGCGGACUCGGAAGUCCCCACUCCUUUUCUUGAUGAAUAGUCCUGAGACUCCGGGGGGAGGAGAGCAGGCUAGAUAAAUUCCUUCCACAGACUUUUUCGGAGACUCCUGUGGAGCUACAGUUUCAGGCUUGGCCAGUGAGGAAAUGUGCCUGGAGAGAACUCUUGCUCCCAGGACUAGGUUAAUGAUACAGUUGCAUAGCCCAAGUGAGAGCAUUUUCUCCGACUUGACAGCAAUAAAAAAUGAAUGCCAGUUCUGAAAACUGGGAAGGGAGCUCCGGCUCAGAGUCUGGCCAAGGGCCGUCUAGAAUGUCCUAUCUGUCUGCUUCAGACAAGGUUUCCAGCAGUGCUAGGAGAUGAACUUGACCUUUCUGAAGUUCUGAGAAAUGGAGAGACCACCCUGGCAACACAUUCCUCACUCCACUGGGGGAGGGGAGAGCAGAUUAUGUGCAAAGAGAUCACUCUGCGAAGCCCUUGGAGCCCUAGUCUGCUGGAUCACAGGUUCUUACUGAAGCAGAUGAGGAAUAUUGCUCAGGAGGGAGAUCCAUAUCAUUUGCACUGGCCAGGAAUCCAUGGAGGGGCUUCUAUCAAAUGAAAGAAUCCACAUAUGUAUUUAUGAGUUACUAAACUUUUAAAGAUAUCUCUACACUUCUAGCCCUUGUGUAUCAUCUACUGGCUUUUGUAUUCUUUUCACAAACUUUAAUUUUUUAUUUAUUUUGACUUUUCACAUAGAUCUUUCGCUAUAUUUAAUUUUUUUUUUGUCCAGGAUCACACAAUUAGGAAGUAUCUGAGGUCACAUUUGAACCCAGGGCCUCCUGACUCCAG